rnacentral:rRNA from 1 species
CACGUAGGGUGCGAGCGUUGUCCGGAAUUAUUGGGCGUAAAGAGCUCGUAGGCGGUGUGUCGCGUCGGCCGUGAAAACCUGCAGCUUAACUGUGGGCUUGCGGUCGAUACGGGCAUCACUGGAGUUCGGCAGGGGAGACUGGAAUUCCUGGUGUAGCGGUGAAAUGCGCAGAUAUCAGGAGGAACACCGGUGGCGAAGGCGGGUCUCUGGGCCGAUACUGACGCUGAGGCGCGAAAGCGUGGGGAGCAAACGGG